rnacentral:rRNA from 1 species
CAGCAGGACUGUAGCAAUACAGUUGCUGGCGACCGGCAAACGGGUGCGGAACACGUACGCAACUUACCCUUGUCUGGGGCAUAGCCCGGGGAAACCCGGAUUAACUCCCCAUAAGAUAGUGGUGUGGCAUCACACAGCUAUUAAAACUUUGGUGGACAGGGAUGGGCGUGCGGCUGAUUAGGUAGUUGGUGUGGGUAACGGCCUACCAAGCCUGCGAUCAGUAACUGGUGUGAGAGCACGACCAGUCACACGGGCACUGAGACACGGGCCCGACUCCUACGGGAGGCAGCAGUAAGGAAUAUUGGUCAAUGGACGCAAGUCUGAACCAGCCAUGCCGCGUGGAGGAUGAAGGCCCUCUGGGUUGUAAACUUCUUUUACAGGGGACGAAACACUCUUUUUCUAGAGAGCUUGACGGUACCCUGGGAAUAAGCACCGGCUAACUCCGUGCCAGCAGCCGCGGUAAUACGGAGGGUGCAAGCGUUAUCCGGAUUCACUGGGUUUAAAGGGUGCGUAGGCGGGCUUGUAAGUCCGUGGUGAAAUCUCUGAGCUUAACUCGGAAACUGCCAUGGAUACUAUGGGUCUUGAAUACCCGGGAGGUGAGCGGAAUAUGUCAUGUAGCGGUGAAAUGCUUAGAUAUGACAUAGAACACCAAUUGCGAAGGCAGCUUGCU